rnacentral:tRNA from 3 species
GGAAGCGUGGCCGAGCGGUUGAAGGCACCGGUCUUGAAAACCGGCGACGGAGUGAUCUGUUCGUGAGUUCGAAUCUCACCGCUUCCGCCA